CCUGAACGCUGGCGGCGUGGCUAAGACAUGCAAGUCGCACGGAGGUAGCAAUACCUCAGUGGCGGACGGGUGAGUAAUGAAUCGCUAAUGUGCCCCGGACUCUGAGAUAGCUGGCCGAAAGGCCAGGUAAUAUCAGAUGAUAUAACCGAACCGCAUGGUUUGGUUCUCAAAGGUCCGCCGGUCUGGGAGCAGGCGAUUUCGUAUCAGCUAGUUGGUGAGGUAACGGCUCACCAAGGCGACGACGCGUAGCCGGACUGAGAGGUUGGCCGGCCACAUUGGGACUGAGACACUGCCCAGACUCCUACGGGGGGCUGCAGUAACGAAUCUUCCGCAAUGCACGCAAGUGUGACGAGCGACGCCGCGUGUAGGACGAAGCCC
rnacentral:rRNA from 1 species